rnacentral:lncRNA from 1 species
ACUUCUCUCUUUCUCCUUGCUUUUUUUUUCAUUAAUUUUUUUGGGAUCUGUGUGGUGCAUCGGCGAGCUACAAAUGCCACCGGAAACACUUGUCAUCAUCUGAGAAGAUGAUCAGAUUUGUGAUUCCAUGAAUGCUCAACCAUAAUAUUAUCAUAUACCUUUGAUUCUGGACCUCUAGAUGCAUUUACUUUUGCAAAGUUGACCGGAUCUGGUGGCUGACAUUGAUUCUG